ACACGACUACAUUAGACUACCCCGGUAGUCCCAGCCCUAAACGAUGCGCGUUAGGUGUAUCGGUGACCACGAGUCACCGAGGUGCCGAGGGAAACCGUGAAACGUGCCGCCUGGGAAGUACGGUCGCAAGGCUGAACUUAAGGAAUUGGCGGGGAGCGACCACAAGAGGUGGAGGCUGCGGUUCAAUUGGACUCAACGCCGGAAAACUCAUCGGGAGCGACAGCAGUAUGAUCGCCAGGUUGAUGACCUUGCUUGACAAGCUG
rnacentral:rRNA from 1 species